GGAAGUAAAAUCGUAACAAGGUUUCCGUAGGUGAACCUGCGGAAGGAUCAUUAUUGUAUAACCGAGGUGCGAGGGCUGUCGCUGACCCGAAAGGUCGUGCACGCCCGAGUGCCCUCACACACAUCCAUCUCACCCCUAUGUGCACCACCGCGUGGGUCCCCCUUUGGCUUGUUCGGAGGGGGGCUUACGUUUUCACACAAACUUUGUAUGCAGUGUAGAAUGUAUUUUUUGUUUUUGCGAUCACGCAAUCAAUACAACUUUCAACAACGGAUCUCAUGGCACUC
rnacentral:misc_RNA from 1 species